rnacentral:rRNA from 1 species
UACGGAGGGGGCUAGCGUUGUUCGGAAUUACUGGGCGUAAAGCGCGCGUAGGCGGCUUUGUAAGUUAGAGGUGAAAGCCCGGAGCUCAACUCCGGAAUUGCCUUUAAGACUGCAUCGCUAGAAUCAUGGGAAGGUUAGUGGAAUUCCGAGUGUAGAGGUGAAAUUCGUAGAUAUUCGGAAGAACACCAGUGGCGAAGGCGACUAACUGGACAUGUAUUGACGCUGAGGUGCGAAAGCGUGGGGAGCAAACAGG